rnacentral:rRNA from 1 species
GGGUUUAAAGGGUGCGUAGGUUGUUCGGUAAGUCAGCGGUGAAACCUGAGCGCUCAAACGUUCAGCCUGCCGUUGAAACUGCCGGGCUUGAGUUCAGUGGCGGCAGGCGGAAUUCGUGGUGUAGCGGUGAAAUGCAUAGAUAUCACGAGGAACUCCGAUUGCGAAGGCAGCUUGCCAUACUGCGACUGACACUGAAGCACGAAGGCGUGGGUAUCAAACAGGAUUAGAUACCCUGGUAGUCCACGCAGUAAACGAUGAUUACUAGGAGUUUGCGAUAUACCGUCAAGCUUCCACAGCGAAAGCGUUAAGUAAUCCACCUGGGGAGUACGCCGGCAACGGUGAAACUCAAAGGAAUUGACGGGGGCCCGCACAAGCGGAGGAACAUGUGGUUUAAUUCGAUGAUACGCGAGGAACCUUACCCGGGAUUGAAAUGUAGAUGACGGAUGGUGAAAACCGUCUUCCCUUCGGGGCGUCUAUGUAGGUGCUGCAUGGUUGUCGUCAGCUCGUGCCGUGAGGUGUCGGCUUAAGUGCCAUAACGAACGCAACCCACAUCGGUAGUUGUUAACAGUUUUCGCUGAGGACUCUACCGAGACUGCCGUCGUAAGGCGCGAGGAAGGUGUGGAUGACGUCAAAUCAGCACGGCCCUUACAUCCGGGGCGACACACGUGUUACAAUGGGAGGGACAAAGGGCAGCUACCGGGCGACCGGAUGCGAAUCUCUAAACCCUUCCCCAGUUCGGAUCGGAGUCUGCAACUCGACUCCGUGAAGCUGGAUUCGCUAGUAAUCGCGCAUCAGCCAUGGCGCGGUGAAUACGUUCCCGGGCCUUGUACACACCGCCCGUCAAGCCAUGGGAGUCGGGGGUACCGGAAGGGCGUAACCGCAAGGGGCGCACUAGGGUAAUACCGGUGGAUGGGGCUAAGUCGUAACAAGGUAGCCG